UCCAUCACUGCUCUACGCUACACCUCCGAUCUCAUUCCCUGCACAUUUCAAUUAUCUAUCCAAUUAAGAUAUACCACGCAACAAAACGACCCCGUUCUAACCCCUGGAAAUGACGAAAACACCUCCAAGUACACUUUGCUGAAGACCGCGUUGGUGCACCCAGAUAUUUCUCAACGCGUAAUUAGACACCACCGUUUAGUUUUUAAAUUCCGUUUAGUUUUUAAAUUUCAUCCAUUCUUUUUUCCAUUUCCUCCCUCUCUUUUUUUUUUUUUUUUUUUUU
rnacentral:lncRNA from 1 species